rnacentral:lncRNA from 1 species
AUUUCAUGUUGUUAACGAGAAAUAAAUAAUAAAUAAAAACAGAGAUUCAACAGUAGUGAUUAGAGUUCAAACCAACGUUGCUAAAAAGUCGUGACACCCGAUUUGACCUGUCCCCAAAUCCUUUAAAAAAAAAAAUAAUGAGCAAUGAGAAAUAAUUAUGAAGGGUGUUGCUGGCGUGCGAUAAAUUCUUGAACGUCAAAGUUUGCCAAACCCAUUAAGAUCGAAUCCGUUAGGAAACAAAUCAAAGCGAUUUUCAGGAAAAAAAAACAAAUCAAAGCGAGAUAACAAAGUUCAUGAAUCUAUUUUAAAAUUACGUAUUCUUAAGUUUUUUUUUUGCUUAACAAAUAAACUAAUAAAGAGUUUCCCCCUCA